GGCAUCUUCUGUUUGCUUUCUCUUUUUUAUACGAAGUCCUUUGCUUUUGUUUUCACCGUCGUCUCCUCCGGUUGUGCCUUGUGUUCCAUCACCAUUUUCGCAAACCUUGAUCCUGCCAAUGCCAUCAUCUCUUCUCACUUGUUCUCAUUCCAAACCCUAAACCACUGGAUUUCUGACCUUCACGAUUCCAGAAAAUUGAGAGCUUUGGUCUGAUGAGCUUGCCUACGUCU